UGGUUGCUAGUUGCUACGCCUUUUUUCUUUUUUGAGAUGAGAUGAGAGGUGGGGCGCUCGUCUCUCCGGGCUCCGGCGACGGCCGUGCCAGGCAGCAGCGGCUGCGCGGGCCGAGCAGCCGGAGUGUCGGCCCCAUCCUGUUGUGUUUAGUCAGUCACCGAAUUGUGGGCCCGUGUCCGGGAGCGACCAAACCGGAAUCACGAUCCUCCUGAUCCGGGUCCGACCCAACCGCCGCCACUCGCUCGCUCCAAACCCUAGCUAGCUACCUACCUCGCGCCGCCGUCUCCGGCGCCCUCAACCCUGAGCCCUUCCGCAGCGUCAACCGCCGGCGGCUGUGCGCGGUUCCCCUCCCCAGCGUGGCGCUCUUCAGCAUCUCCGCCCACCCCGAGGGCGCCGGCCUCCACAACGUCUUCAGCUCAUCCCGGACAGUGAGGUGAGUAGUCUCCAACAGCGGGCACCAGAUGGUGGCUUCUUUGGGGGCAAGCUCCCAGUGCAUGCUCAUAGGUGAAAAAUACUUGGGGAUCAGUAUUUGCUGUUUUUCCAAGGUGGAAUCAUCAUAUAUCCUCCUUUGUUAGUUUUCUGUUAUGCUUCCGAGUUGUAUGACUAGAUCAUUAGUAACAGAUUCUGUAAGUUGUUCUGUAUGCAAGAUGGUGGCAGAGUGAGUAUGCUCUUUCAGAUUUUGCCUCUUGCAUGCAAGAUGGAUCGGCAUUCUGGCUUAAUCUUUGAUAUCUGUUGUUGUUGGUUCUUUUCGAAAUGGAACUUCAGUAUCACACAAUGCAGUAAGACCCGAUGGACCACCGUCCUGGUCCUUUCAAAAUUGUGAUGGUGGAUCACACAGGAAGUUGCUCUGCAUUGGGAAAAGGAAGAAGCAAGAGCUAGGGUGCCCUCUCCGCUCCUGCUUGGCGUGUUAAAUGGAGUUGCAGGUCUCACUUGAAUGAAACAUUGGUUUGAUAUUCAUAUCUCAUUGUCGGGUUCAUUGACUACAAGCUCUCUGCCUCUCAUUGCACCUGCUGAUUAUGGUCUUGCAAGUUUAAAAUGCAUGCUGGCUUGCUGAGUAAUAGUGCAGUGAAAUGAAUUCCUUGAGAUUAUAUGUUCUGGAAUUUAUGGAGUGCUGUAAUAUUGUAGCUCUUAUGUGACAAGGAUAAAUAGUUUCUCAACAUAUGAUGUAAGAGCCCUUCUGGUUAUAGUAAACACGAUUCAGUAAAAAUAGUGGCCCUUCAUUCCUGAACUUUUCUCUGGAUGCAGGUGCUAGAUAUACUCUAAUUGAUAGUGCAUAUUUAUUUUAGAAUCCGAAGAUAGUUGUCGUGGCACACUUCAUGUCUGCAAGUUUACUAAAGGCAGUAAGAUUACCUUAUUGUCACCACAACGGAAGUGAAUCCUCGCCAACAGAUCUGACACCUCCUGUUUGGUAGUAGAAUAGCGUCAUAGGCUUAGUGAGCUGGACAUGUCCAUUCAAUCAUUUCAUUUUAGUAUACAUGCAAUUAUCUAUUCCUCAUUACAAAAGGAACUGAUCAAAUUGAUGAUUUUGGCAGUAGCUAUUUCUUUAAGUGAUGGAUGCAUGGCAUAGUUACUAUUUACAAAAUCAUUCACUACAAUAUCCUGUUCGUAAUAAUUUUGUCCUAAUACGCUGGGCUGAAUGCACCUACUUUCACUCUUUAUAACAAGGGUGGUCUGAAGUCGCUACUUGACUACUCGAUGCAAGUUUCGGUUACUGUUUACAAUCAUUCAGUAAUAUUUCAAUAUCCCGUUCAUAGGGAUUUUGUCCUAAUACUCUUGACUGAAUGCAGCUGCUUUUGCUCUUUACAGCCACAACAACCAACGUGGCAAUUUGCAAAUCUGAUUGCAUGAAUUAUGAGGAUGAUCCUGUUGUACACAUGUUAAUUGGAUCGAAUUGACGUUCGUGACGUAUGAUAUCUGGUUUACUUUUCUGUACCCUCUUGCAUGCGACAUUUUUCCUUAAUUCGAAGAUAAUUGUUAUUUGGAUUAGGUACAUCGGAGCUUAUAGAAGAAGACAUCAGCCAGCAGGGUUGGGAGUGAUAUGUUAUGGAUUAUGGGAGUGAUAUGAAUGCCCGGCAACAAUCUUUGUUUCUCCAUGACUCUGGUUGGGAAGUUGUGAGUGUGUAUAUCACCAUGUUAUAUGUGCCACACCAUCAUUAUUUAUGAAAUUGGCAUCUUUCCUAUUUAGAAAAGAUGUGCUCUUUCUGCAAACUAGAUUCUGUUCAACUAUGUAUUCAUCAAGGCAGUAAGCUUCACUUUCUCCCUAAGGUAUGUGGGUUUCCCUUAUAGAGCUGUUAUCUCCAGAGAACAUUCCGUGGAUAGAGAAAGGGGUUUAUGAGAUUGACAAUUGCAUGUUUAGACUAUCCAACCUAGCAGGGAUAGAAGUUUGAAUACUCUGGACUUGUAUUUUUUUUUUUUGGUUAUGAACAACACUAGCAUAGUAAUUAAUGUCGAUAGUCCAAAAAUAAUGUUGACAUAGUGAAUGGCUUGCGUCAUAUGAGAAAUUUAUUUGGUAACUACAUCGUCGUGCCACAUGGAUUGGAUGUCAACGGUAGUCAUCUCACCCAGUACACCUUUUGCAAUAAUAAUCACAGCAAAUCAAAAUUUUGUUGUGCUGUCUAUGUAUCUAACUGGCUGUGAUCGGAGUUAGAUCAUUUUCUGGUAGAAGGAAAGACAUGAUCUUAUCGGUAACUUUAGGCAGUAGGAAUCAUUGGAUCAUUUUGCAUUAAUGAUGUUAGCUUUUGGGGAGGCAAUUGUUUUGCAGUGCAUCCCUUUCCUAAGCAGAGCGAAAUUUAUCUGACAUGUAAUGCAUUCAGAUUGUGGUGUUGCUUACAUUUUCAGCUUGUAGCCGAGGACUGGAAUAGGUUGAGAAUCCUGAGCCGCGGAGGAAAGCGGGUUAAUUAGAUACACCAACCUAUGGAUGAAAUAACCAAACUAACUCGCAAGAAAAUAGUCUCCAUGGUCUGAAUGUCCAAACAGCGACCACAUAUAUGCUUUUGCUCUUAUUGGCAGGGCUUCAGGAGACAGGAGCCUUGAUGCGCUGAAGAGAGGGGCUGUGCUGCUGAGGACCAAUUCUGUGGAUCUGAUGUGAGUCCGUGGAGAUGCUGCUAGCGACAACCCUACGGUAACGAAGUGAAGGUUUUGCUGUUGCUGCAUUUGGCUCGGUCUGUGUGUCUUGGGGGUGUCCUUUGCGAUCAUCCUGGUUACCUUUCCGUAUGUAAUGAAGUGGUUGUGAUACUGUGGUUCCAGUUAUGCCUUUUGCCUUUCCAGCUA